rnacentral:lncRNA from 10 species
GCACUGGUUCUAUUAUCACGCCUCUCCAGCCCUUUGGAGUCCCGGCCUCCAGCUUUUGAAACCGUCCCCGGGGCAACAGAGUCCCUUGCUCAGAUGUCGUUCGGUAUCUGGGACUGGGAGGGGUCCUGGACCACACGCAUUCUCACUCUGUGAUUUUGCUUAUCCCCCAGGUGAGGCUCCGGGGCUGCCUAGACCCUAGGAAGAAGCUGUCCUGUAGAACUUUCUGCCCUGAUGGAAAUGUUCCAAGUCUGCGCCGUCUGAUACAGUAUCAGCCACAUUGGCCACUGAGCAUUUGAACUGAGGCUAGUGCUGAUGGAAUUUAAAUUUUAUUGAAUUUUUAUAAAAUUUUAAUAACUCCAAGUGGCUAGUGGCUGCUGUGUUGGAUAGCGCAGGCCCAGACAGCAGGGACAACUGCAUCAUCAGAAAACUGCCAGACCACUUCUCUCCGCCAGGUCCAUUCUCCUUUCUCCACUCUGGAAUGCCCUCCUCCCACCAAGGCCCACGCCAGAUGGAGGUGGAUGCCACACCCACACCUUAAGGUUAUGUUCUGCUUCCCCAGAGAGAAAUGAUCUUUUCAAGGUCCAUUUCCAAAGGAGAAUAUGCUCUGAGGGUGGAGGUAGGGGUGAAUCUGCAUCUCACCUUCCUUCCUUCUUACUUGACAAUCAAGUUCUCAGACAACAAACAAAACAGGACAGAAACGAAAUAGAAUAAUGGUAGAAAUCCUAUCCAAUCGAAACAAUACAGAAAGGUUGUGUCUAGUAUACAGUGGAGAUUAGUGUGUGUUGGGUGUUCUAUUGGAGGUCCUUCCCUUGGUUUAGGUUUAGGGCCUAAGCAUUCAGAAUGCAGUUUCAUAAUCGUGGUGCCAAGAGAGACAGACAGAUGGAGAGAGGGGUAGUGUUGAGGCAUCAGACACAUCUCAUCUCUAAACCUUUCCCUGCAGAUCACCAUCUGAGUCAUGACUUCCCGUCGUUUGUCUUCAGUGAUCUGGUUGGUGCAAACGUAUGAGGUGACAAUACAGAACAAACAGCAGGAGAAAAUAGACGUGCUCAAAACUGGGUGAUUGAUUUGAAAACAACAGAGAAAGAACUAUUAAUUAAACACUUGCUGAGCAUGUGAAUAGAUCACGGGCUCCAAGACCUGCUGGUACUGAGUUGGGGUGGCAAUUAUUCCUGUACAAGCACGUGUUUCUGCAGCUGUGACACACACGUGCAAGAAAGCAGGCCCAGGGCUUGGGAGUUCUCUCCAUUUUACCAUUUAUGCCCUAUUAAAAUAUUAUUAAAUGUUAUUAAAACAUUGUUGAAUCCCAGGCUGGAGGCAAAUGUUU